GAGGGUCUCGCUCAGCAGGAGAACACAUGCUUAGCAUGCAUGAGGUCCUGGGAUCAAUUCCCAGCACCUCCA
rnacentral:tRNA from 1 species